AAGAAACUUUAGAAUUCUACAGGCUGAAAGUUCAUGCAUAACAGAGGAAGUUAAUAAUGAAAAUGCAGUUAUUUUUCUCAAGGCCAAGGAGGGGGACGAUGAGGGGGACAGAUGGGAGGAAGCACUUUGAAUAGGGGAAAUGGAAGCUUCCACCCCAGAGGGAAGGUUUUAACCUCUCCCGAGACUGCGGAGAACAGAUCAUGGCAUGGCAGAGACUGGUGGCAUGGCCACCACUCUAGAUAAGGGACAGCAGUGGGAUAUCAGGUCAGUAGGGAAGUUUCUAUGAGGGUCAUCUCAGAGCCAGCUUAGAGCAGCAGCUUUAAAGAGCCAGAUGGCUAGGACUGGCAGGUGACAACAACAUCAUAUGGUUAUAGAAGCAAUUUUUAAAAUGACAGCCUCCAUAGUUUGAGACUUCAGCCUCCUUCAUAUUUAAAUCUUUGUAUGUAGACAGAGAGCUCCAAAAUAACUCAUAGAAAUUCCUAUAUUUCCUGGUGAGAACUCUGAGGCAAUUAAACAUCAUCUAGAGAAAAGGGAACCACGAUAUCUCUUGCAUCUUCCGUUUGUGAACUAAACUUCAUCCCUCCUACAUAUAUUUAUACAUAUACAGUUUCCCCGUUAUCUAAAAGCAGAGCGUUCCUAUGAAACCUUUCGUAAACCAAGAUGGCGUCACGCGAAGAAGCAGUUACCGUUAAUUUACAGAGGAAGCAUUUUUGAGCAUUCCAGGACCCAAAAAAUAAUCUACCACAUCACACCAAAUAACACGUAAACCUAAACUCCCACUAGCACAGUGAAAACAGGAACCAUAUGAUGACUACACAGCCUACAUAAAGCAGAAACUACGUACUCUGCGGUUCACUUCCCAGAACCCGGAGGACAGCGAGUCUGCCUGCCUCCAUGUCGAGGGUCGGGAUUCACUGGCUGCUCUGGCUGCUGUGGUUGAUGUGGAAGGCUUGAGAGAGGACAUGAUGCUUGACUGCUUAGCCUCCAUAAUGGCUUGCUGCCAAACACUCAACGUACUUUCAAAAAGCAAAUCAUCUUUGGAUUUAUUUCGGUUAUGGAAAACAGAAAUGGUGAAACAGCUAAUCUGGAAAUGGCAUAGAAUUGGGCCGUCUCCUGCCUCGCUGAUGGAAAUUGUUCCAGUGUUUUUGAAGAAAAUUGUGGCACCACGUUGGUUCCAGAUGCCUGCCUUCCUCCCGUGGACACCACUGCUGGGGCUGUGUGCUUAG
rnacentral:lncRNA from 1 species